rnacentral:lncRNA from 1 species
ACCGCGCGUCAGCUUAGAGAAAGGCCUUUCCCUUUCUUCUGGCCCCUCUCGCCCCUCCCCCGCGCGCCUGCGGGUCUCCAUUUCCGAGUUCACCUCCAUUCCAGAGCCAAAUGGAAAGUCACGCUUUUCUGACUUGAGACUUAAGGUUGUAAGAAAGCCAGUUGACCAUCUUCGCCUCCCUCGCGGCUUUCUAAAUGUCGAGAGCCCAGAAGUCCAGCAUGCUGGGGUCUCCCGUUACCAAGAUAGAGCCUGAAGUGAGCCCGCAGGACCAAUUUAAAGCACCUUAGUGGAAUCCUGGGGCCAGGUGGUGGGGCAGUUUCUAAUUAGCUGCCUGAAGCCUGGGUUUUUAGACCUCGUCUCCUUAGCUGCUAAUUUGAAGCCUGUCGUGGACUUAGCCUAGCCUUCUCACAAUAACAACUGUAAAUUAAAAGUCUACAGAUUUGCUAGUCGUGGUAUGUGGAGUUAGGAGGCUGAAAAGGUGGAAGAAAAGGGGUGAAAAAGGGCGGAAGAACAAAGAACCUACAAUGUAGCAUAAAAGAGCUACAAGUGCUGCCCAGACAUGGGGCUAGGCAGAGUGGGAAAUUUGAUUUCAAGUGCGGUAGAGAAAAAGGUAGGAGAAGAUGCCAGCAAAAAAUGUACUGAGGCUUCUACUAUUGGGAUAUUUUCUGCUUUGCACCCACAAGGGAUUUUCUGUAUUUGUUGUUUGUUUGUUUCAAAAAAGUUUGAAAGACUGGCUGAGUUGUGAACAAAGCUAUAUCAGACCUGAUGCAAGGCAGAUGUUGAUAGAGAUCUUGGCAUAUAAAAAUUUGUAUAUCAGUGUAAAAACCAUCAAAGUCAAGAGCAGUACCUAUGGACACGUAUAUAAGGGAUAUGGCCGAUACUGGUUCUAACAUGAACCAUACUAAUAUCAUAGGUCCAGCUAUAGCUAGAGGUCUGAUAUCAAAAUAUCCAGUGCUUCAAUUGUAGGAAAUACGGUCUUUGCAAAGAGACUAUGACCAAGCUGCUAAGAUCUCAGACCUCAAAAUGCUUGGUGCUUUAAUUGUGGAAAAUUUGGUCAUUUGCAACAAAAUUGUGAACAAGGCAUCUCUAAGGCCAAUGGGUUUUCUAAAUAUAAAACAGAAAGAAGGCUUAGGCUUCCAGGGGUGUGCAGGUGAUGUGGCAGGGUUGCCAUUAGACCAAUAAGGAUAGGUCUGAGAGAGAUAUCUAAGGCAAUUUCUUACCAUCAGGAAACAGCAUUGGGGGCCUAACUAGAGACCCCCACAGCAAAAAGUACAAGUUUUUGCCUCUUGUCAGCCAAGAAAUAACAAGCAGAAAAUCCUCA